UGGGGAAUAUUGGACAAUGGGGGCAACCCUGAUCCAGCGAUGCCGCGUGGGUGAAGAAGGCCUUCGGGUUGUAAAGCCCUUUAGGUUGGGAAGAAGGAUGUUCGUAUAAUACACGAACAUUUUGACGGUACCGACAGAAUAAGCACCGGCAAACUCUGUGCCAGCAGCCGCGGUAAUACAGAGGGUGCGAGCGUUAAUCGAAGUUACUGGGCGUAAAGGGCGCGUAGGCGGUGAUGUGAGUGUGAUGUGAAAGCCCUGGGCUUAACCUAGGAAGUGCAUUGCAAACGACAUCACUGGAGUAUAAGAGAGGGUGGCGGAAUUUCCGGUGUAGCGGUGAAAUGCGUAGAGAUCGGAAGGAACGUCAAUGGCGAAGGCAGCCACCUGGCUUAAUACUGACGCUGAGGCGCGAAAGCGUGGGGAGCGAACAGG
rnacentral:rRNA from 1 species